ensembl:lncRNA
GGCAAAUCCUGCGUAAGGAAAAGUCACGCUCUCUUUCGGCUGCAGGCGAUAUACGGAGAAGAUCACACUGGAGAACUGUAAAGUGGUUAAUGCUACUUUUCGUGUUUAAGUAAUACUUAAUGGUUGUCAGACCGAUAACCUAUCCGUUACUUUGCAUGCGGAAGAAGUCGGUAUCACAUAGAGACAUUUUCAAAACGAAUUAGUCAGAAUAGCUCAGCUAAUAGUAUAGCCUGAAAAGUUAGCAACUCGGUAGCUGGGACUAUGUUAGGCUAACUGACUUCGUCAACAAUGAGUUGCCUCUGAGGAACAAGACUGCGAGACUAACCGGAGGAAGACAGCUUGCUGUUUGAACUGAUACGCGAACUACAGCGUCGCGUGAGCAACUGCGCCACCGAGAGCGCGUGAGCAGGGCUGCAGUGACGGUGCAUGGACCCUCUCUGGGCACGGACAUCCCCAUCAACCUCGUUGCCGUGGAUUCAGAGCCUAUGCUGGGAACACUCGGUGUGAGGCAGAGACACAUGCUGAAUGGGACACCUCGGGGCAAUUUAUAGAGGCCAGUCCAGCUACUGGCAUGUUCCUGGGAGAAAGAAAGUCAAAAAAAAAAAAAAAGAUUUCAACACCACCAAAAGAAGCGAAGACAAGAUUAAGUCACCUGUCAUGCCCUGUGAAUCCCAUUUCCACUGUCGCUCUGAUAACAGAAAUGAUAUAAACAUUUUUUUUUCUAUUUUUCAAUCCACCUUCAUGAAUGUCAUUUGUCUUGGAAUUUGGCACAGAGCCAUUGAUAGGAAGGUCUCUAUUUAAUUCAAAUGGUGGAAAUCAUUAGCUGUAUUCACAUGGUCUGGUGAGCAAAGCCAAUCACCUCGCCACCGUUAAUUUAGCUCCUCAUAGUUUAACAUGGUCUUUGUCCAUUUUGCACUGACAGCCCGAGUGAUACCAAGCUCAAAAAAUGGGGAGAAUAAGAGGAGGAUAAAAAUGAACACAUUUAGUGGCCUCUGGGUCAGUUAAUAUCAAGGUCCACUAUUGAGUUGUUCCAGGCUAUUGUGUUGGUGCGAAAAGAGCCCUACAAUAUGAACCUGCCAUUCUGUAGGUCCUCGCUUUGUUUCACCUCUGAAUGGAUGUCAGAAAAUGGAGGAACUGCUUCAUUUUAACAUUCUCAGUGACCUGAGUCGGGGUGAUGCUACUGAUGAGAUACUGCCAUCAACACUGCAAAAUAUUGGAAUGUGUUGUGAUCUUUUUUUUUUCCUUCCUAGUUUACUGCUAGUAUACAGACAUGCAUCAGCAUAACCUAGAAAACUGAUGUCUGAAAAAUAGAUUUAUUUUCUAUAAAAUAGCAGCAAACUUCUGAUGUGUUCAAUAUGGACAGCUUUUUAAAACAUCCUGUCAAAAUCGGCACAGGAAGAGAAAUCUUCUCGGCUGUAGGUAUGUCACUUUUUGAAAAGUUGGAAAAAUAAAAUGUGAAUCCUUUUGGGAUUUUCAUCAGUUGCUGAAUAUUCUGAAGAGAAAGCAACACAUGACAUGAUGAAAAGAUCCAAACAUGCAUACAAUGGUGAGACAAUACACUCACUGCCAUCAUUUAUUGCAAAAAUCUGUUUCAAUUAUAAUUUAUCACAUCAUCUCUUUAUCAAUGUGCCAACAUUUCGUUCUCUGGCUAGUUUCUUGGUUUUUUCCAAAAAACUUUUGUUGCAAAUCCUUUGCUUUCAACCCCAAGUGUCAGCCAAAACAUUUCUGUAUGCCAUACACAGUAGUAUAUUGUUUUGUCUGGUUUGAUGUGUGCUUUUUUGGUCACCACUGUGUCUGGCUGCAGUUGAUUGGAUAAUUGGCAGCUUAUUUUGGCUCGACUACCAUCAUUGGCUGAUGAAAGCAGGAGGAUCUUGGCAGCACUCUUUAUUACACAACCUAGUUCCAACAUGGUCUUAUGAUUGAAAAUUUAUAACACUGUAUAUGGGCCAACUCAUAUGAAAAGUUAAGGUGCAUGGUUAAAGUUAGAUCAAGGGGCAGGGUUACUUCAUUUUUAUGACUUCAUAAUAAAAAAUCCAUCUAAAUUGCUCUCAGUCAUUAGAAAUUAUCCAUGAUUUCAAGUUGACUGGUGAAACCUGUCCCAGAAUACAAGCUCUGACUUUAUCAUACACUACAUCCUGGCUAGCUGUCCAUCAUUGUUUUGCCCACUAGUGUUUUCUCCAUGAAUCAGAUUGGGUUUAUUUUCCUGGCUCAGGUUUUCAGCAGACACAUUCACUAUGUUAAAACAGUUCCAGUUUGGUAUGGAGAACUUUAUUGUUUGAUGUUUAUUUCAUGCACCACCUCUCAAUUGUCGUGUCAGCAUAAAGAAAUUCAGAACUGACAGUCUCAGACUGGUUCCAUAUGCAACAAUCGACAUGAACAGAAUAAAAUUAAGUUCCUUUUGAAACAGAUAUUUUUUGUUUCAAUACUUUAUUCCUUUUUGAAAUCACUCCACAGCCCUGUUUCUUCCUGGUCACUCAAAAUGAUGUAAGAACAAUAAAAGUGAACUGAGGUGUAAGAAUGCUCAUAUGUUAAUGCUUAUAUUCAGGUCAGAAAUCAUCAUCGUUGUCGUCAUCGGCAGUUACUCGAGUCAAGUAUGACUGUCUUCCAUGGGGUUAGAAGUUGGUGGAUCUGCAGAUGGCAGGAGAGGCCAAUCUGUAACCUGAAUAUUGGAUUCCUUGUGGAAAUCUAUAACAUUGACCAUACUAAUUACUGUUUUGUGAAGGUAAUCAUCAGCAUUAGUGUUAUGAUUCAUUUUAGCUGGUUAGCUUUUUCCUAAUAGCUAGUUGUCUGCUGACUAGCUUGUUGCUGAGCUACUCACUCUUGUCCACUGUUGUUGCUGUACUGCAAUUUAAGUCCAAAAUUUUGCAUUUUCACUAGAGUAGAACAGUAGCAGUAGUCAAUCAGGCCAGUAACUGUAAAAGUAUGGUUAAAGUAGCUUACGUGCUCUUUAUGGCGGAUGGAAAUGGUUGGACACUGCUCCACUCCACUAUAAAGGAGCCGCCACUGCAAACACCACCUGGCAGGCCACCAUGCACCGUAAAGUUCCCUUUCAAAGGGAACUUUGAUGUUGCGUUUAGCAUAAUACUAUGGGAGCGCCUCUCGCACGCAACUGGCAUCUGAAGCUUGUGUAAAAUCAUGCCUAUUUAUAGGCCUGCCAUGAUCAGGUGACGUGGCAAUUAAGCGCGUUGUGUGAUACAAAUAUGACACCUGUGAACCGUGCCAUCAGCCUUUAUUAUCUUCAGCGAAAGACUGCAUGUCAGUUGUUUGUAUAAAGAAACAAAAAGAUGUUUCAUUUCCUCGCUAUCUUUUCUCAAAAUCUCAGAACUUUUCUAUUCCUUUAAAAAAAAAAAGAGAAGAAAAAAAAUCUGAGUGAGAGAUUUCAGAAAGUGUGUUACGACUUGCUCCCGUUUCAUUAUGGAGAAUAGUGCACACUUUGUGGGUGACGUGUCGAGGGUUGGAGCAUGCAAUGGCAGCCUCGAGAGGCUGCGCAUGGUAAUGCCUACCUUAAGCAGAUCCGCUCACGACUCGCGCUCUUCUUGGAAGGUGAAGUGAGUUGGGUUUCAGAGCCUCGCGGAUCUGGGCCGGCCGCUGCCGAGGCAGCUAGCCCUCUCAGGUUCGGGGGAUCUCUUAUGGAUCCGGAAGAGAGGCUGGAGACGAGCGCUGCUCUAUCUCUUGCUCUGUCUUCCGGGUUCGGCUCUGCGCUGGAUUUUGGACCUCGCGUCCCGACGACUCCUUCCACUAUGGAAAGCCAAAAGGGGAAGAAAAACACACACACACACACACACACACACACACACACACACACACACACACACAAAUAAUAGUAAUAAUUCCUCUCUGACUCUGAGGAGCCAGAAGGAUGUGCUAAAAACAGAGCAGCAUGAGCUGCUUGAAGUGAUUACUAAGGCUGGAUAAGCCUUUGUCUCCUCAGUGAAACUAAAUCCCUCACACUGCAGAAACUCCCCUUUCCUCCAGAAGUGCAUGACAAAAUAUCAGGCUUCUGGGGGAAAACCAUGCAUAAAGCCAUAUUUAUAACCCGACGAUGUUGGAUUAUUCGGCCAUUGUGGGGAAUGAAUGGCAUGGCUAUUUAGCUAUGCUGAAGGUGGAGGAGGCACUUGCGAGCUACCUCUCUCCAUCAACGGAAGGUAAUUAGGGGGAAAGCCACCGGUGGGCAAGGCUUAUGAGGUAGUAGUCUUGUUUGUGGGUCACUGCAGACAAUGACAGUGUUGCAGGCCUACCAAGCAGACCUGCUGAGUGAGCUUGACAUAUUGCGGCAUUCAGCCAGUUCCUUCCCUGUUGUCUCGAGUUCACGUGGAGCCCAGGCCAGCACUAGUGCAAAGGAUACCCAGAAGGCGAGUAUGGCAGCCCGCCAACCCCCGCAGACAGCCAGGGGAACCAGGCGGCCAUAGUCGCGGCCUGAUCUGAGAAUGGUCAUAAAGGCCUAGCAGGCAAAGAAGAGCCGUCCUGAGGGGCCGUGGAGGGAAGUAUCAUGACAUGAGGGACAUGAGGUUGUUAGGGCAGUUAGCCCCCAGUGCUACUGUAGGGCCUCCCUAGCCAAGUCGGUCCCAAGUUUCCAGUGUUCUCUGGUCACCGAGCUGUCACAGGGCAACGAAAAUCUGAUGCUUUCCCUCCAAUAGAAUGUGGAAUAGUUAACGUCACUAAAAGGCCAUCUGGCAGUAUGGAAACUACUGUCAAAUGUGUCUCCAUUGGUUCUGUCUACCGUAGAAAAGGGUUACUGGGUCCAGUUUAUAGCUCAACCCCCCCGGUUCAGAGGUGUGCUCACCACAGUAGUCAGCACAGACCAGAGCCCGACGUUAGAUCAUUAGUAAGAUCCCUCUUGGACAAAGGAGCCAUAGAACAUGUACCCUGCUCCCUGAGGGAGGGAGGUUUUUACAGCUGUUAUUUCCUGGUCUGUAAAAAAUAGGAGUAUGUGGCCAAUUUUAGAUCUGCGUCAUCUGAACUGUACUCUUCGGACAUACAGGUUCAAGAUGCUGACGCCCAAACUUAUCAUUCCACAGAUUCAGUUUGAGGACUGGUUUGGGACGAUAGAUCUAAAAGGUGCAUAUUUCCACAUAGAAAUAUCGCUAGCUUUAUCCCCUCGAACCUUCACAAAGUGCAUGGAUGUCACUCCUGCUCCACUGUAACUCCAGGGCAUCUGUGUAUUAAACUACCUGGAUGACUGGUUAAUUCUACCACAAUCCAGGGAACUGGCGGUUCAACAUCGAGAUGUUGUUCUCGCCCACAUCAAGAUCUUGGGGCUCAGGUUAAAACUCAGAAAAGUAUGCUUUCCCCAGUGCAGUGGACAACUUUUCUAGGGGUUAUAAGGAUUCUAGUGAUGAGGAUGUUUCUAUCCCCAACAUGCGUAGGGUCAAUCCUAUCAACACUGAGCAAGAUAAACCUGGAUCUUGGGAGACUAUUGGCUCUUAUGGGCCUAUUGCACAGGAAACCGUUCAGUGGUGGCUGAGAAGUUGUGGGUUUCGUCCAAGUACAAAACCUCUGAGAAUAAUCAGUCUCACGUGGUGAUGCCUACGUGCUCUGAGAAUGGGUGUCCCCUGUUUCUAUCCUUGGGUCACACUCUAGGGGUGUCUCCUUAGGGCAAGAUGGUAAUGACAGACACCUCCCUCACGGGCUGGAGUGCAGUCUUAGACAGCUGUAGGAGAUCUACAACCUCUCUCUGUUGCCCCUUCCUGCCUUGACUUUGCCUCUGGAUUAGCCAAGGCCUUCCUGUACCCUAGGCCGGAUUAUAUUCCUAAAGUGCCUACAUCGGCUGCCCACCCUGUGGUGUUGCAGGCUUUCUGCUCUCCUCCACACUGGAAUAAGAGAGAAUGCACCUGCUGUGUCCGGCCAGUGGCGUAAGUUGGAGCAGCUUUGGCGGCGACAGUAGAGGUGAUGCUGUGUCAAAGCAGCGCCUUUCUAAUUGGAUAGUGGAAGCAAUCUCUAUUGCUUAUGAGGAACGCGGUCUCGCUACGCCUCUGGGCAUAAGGGCUCAUUCCACUAGGGCGGUGGCCUCCGCGAAGGCUUUGUCCAAAGGGGUAUCCUUACAGGAUGUGUGCGCUGCUGAAGGGUGGUCUACGCCACACACAUUCAUUUGUUAUUACAGGCUGGAUAUUCCACCCCGGGCUCAAGUGUCUUGCAGUGACCCUCAGGCUUGAGUCUUUUUGAACAGGCCGUACCCUCGGUAUGAUGGAGUGGGUAUUCUCAUUCCCAUAGUGUUCUGCUAAACACAACGUCGAAGUUCCCUUUGAAAGGGAACGUCUGGGUUUCACAUGUAACCCUGUUCCCUGAGAAGGGAACGAGAUGUUGCAUAGCUUUGUCAUACCAGGGCAGGCCUGUGAAUUGUGUCUUCGCUUCAGAUAAUAGAGGCUGAUGGUGUGGUUCACAGGUGCCAUAUUUAUAUCACGCGGCACACUUAAUUGCUACGUCACCUGAUCAUGGCAGGCCUAUAAAUAGGCAUGAUUUUACACAAGCUGCAGAUGCUGGUCGUGUGCGAGAGGCGCUCCCAUAGUGUUAUGCUAAACGCAUCGUCUCGUUCCCUUCUCAGGGAAUAGGGUUACAAGCGUAACCCAAAUGUUUUCUUGAAUCAACUCACAGUUCUGAACCCUUAAAGUGAGUGAGGGUUUAUAACAUGGAAAAAUUGCUUUCAUAUACUGAAACACACAGAAAUUUGCCCUGAGAUACACCAAUGCUGAUAUAAAAAAACAGAGUCUCAGGAGACUUUCCUAAAAGACAUGAGUUAAUUGUCAGGUGUCAGCUGACCCUGUAUUUAUGUGUGCUACUCCCUGACCUGGUUAUUGGCUUUAUGCUCAACCUCAGCAUUUCCAGAGCUGACAGAUCUGCCAGGCAGCAUUGUCCCCCAUAGACACACUCAUUUUUGCUGAUUCAUAUUUCAUUGAUCUUGCACACUUAAUGAUAUGCUCAUUGACUCAUAGUAUAAUGUUUAGAUUUGAAUAAUAACAUUAAUAUUCUUGCCAUUCUAACAGGUGCUGCCAAGAUGACAGACGGUACCUAUAUGUUAACUCCUUUUACACCUGCUGAUGACCGGUUGGCUCCACAGGUUUAAGCAAACAAAUUUUGUGCACCUCAUUGUGUUAAGUAGUGUGAAAGGCUUAGUUUUCUUUUGACCCUACUAUGUCAAAAGAAUCAAAUAUUAAUUUGAUUUGGGAUAUAUUAAUUGUAAUUUCUUGAAUUUCAGAUAACCUCAUUUACCUGAAUGUACAGUCACCAUGCACUUUAAUAGGAACACCUGUACACCUGCACAUUUAUGCAGUUAUCCAGUCAGCCAGUCAUGUGGCAGCAGGUUCAUGUGCCAGUGUCAUGUGACAAGAGCUUCAGUUAAUGUUCACAUGAAACAUCAGAAUGAAGAAAAAAAAAAUGAUGUUUGUGAUUUUGAUCAUGGCAUUAUUGUUGCUACCAGAUGGGCUGGUUUGAGUAUUUCACAUACUGCUGAUCUCCUGGGAAUUCACACACAACAGCCUCAUGAGUUUACACUGAAUGGUUGUAAAAAUUAAAAAAAAUUAAAAAAAAAACAUUAAGUGAGUGGCAGUUCUGUAGGUGGAAAUGCCUUGUUGAUGAGCAAGAUUAGAGGAGAAUGACCAGAAUAAACUGACAGGAAGUCUAUAGUAACUGAAAUAAUCACUCUUUAUAACAAUUAUGAGCAGAAAAAAACGUAUCAGAACACACAACACAUCAAACCUUUAGGUGGAGUGGCUAUACCAGCAGAAGACCACAUCAGGUUCCACUUCUGUCAGUCAGGAUUAUGAAUCUGAGGCUAUCAUGGGUGGACUUGCCCAAACUGGACGAUUGAGGAUUAGAAAAAAAAAUCCCAGUCUUGAGUGUAUAUCAAGAAAAAAAUCAAGAGGAUGCAAGUGGAUGCCGACCACCCUGCAACUCUGAAAAACAAAUCUCCAUGCUAAUAGGCAACCAAUAUGCAGUGAUAGGUAUUCGGUUUGUUUUUGUUGAUAAACUUGUGGUCACAUCCAUUAAAGUACAUAGAUUAUGGAGUAACUAAUCUGAAAUGUAAGUAAAAGUCAAAUAAAAACUCUUGAGACAGUUGAAACAAAUGAUUUGCAUACAGAAAGCAAUUAUACGACACUUUAAAAUUAUGCUUAAAUUUUUAUACUAGUUGGUGCAAAUUCCUAAGAAUAUACAAUGAGAUUAUUCUAGUUAAAAACCCUCUUGGAAUCCACCUUGAAUUAAAUGGUGGGUACACAUUCUCUACAAUAAAUCUGCCCUAGAAGACUGAUGAUAUAAUAGGGAACCAUGAUGAACUUUAAAAUAAUGUGAUAGUAUUUCUCUAACUGAAAAACAAGUGAAAAGGAAGAGUAUGUGGCAUCCGUGUGUGUGUGCAUGUACAGGGCAUUGACUGGGAGCAGGCUGUUUGUUCCAUCUGAAUCACAAAACAACAAGGAACCUGACAGAAAUCAAGUAUUCUGUGUCUGCAGUUCUACUGCUUCCCUAGGAGACCCGAUAGCUAGCGGAAGUGCUGCAGGCAGAUUUCCAGGUAUUAAUAAAGAUGUGUACAGUUCCUGCUGUGGCAUGAGUAUGCUUGGGGAAAAAAGGCAAAUAACAACAAUGAUUUUGCAAGCAAACCUCACAAGAAGAGCUUAAAGGAUCGGUUUUAUAGACCGUGUGCGUUUGCAAAGUGAGUUGAGAAAUAGCUAGCUUGCAAGUAAUCAAAUAAAUAUGAAAAUACUUGUACUCUGACUGUGCUAGCAUACUAAUAUAUGACAGUGUAUGGAGGCAGAAGCUUGGGGCUUCACUUUUGUGUGGUUGUCAAAAUGAAUGAAGUUAAUCCUAUGAGCAACUUGAGAUGCCGCAGUUGCUACAGUCGAUAUUAAACUUAUAAGGAGAGACAUAAUUUCAGGCUACUACUGAGUAGGAAUAUAUGCAUUCAUUCAUUCAUCUUCAGUAACCUGUGAAUCUGGAGACCUUCCCAGGAACACUGGGUGCAUGGUAUAAGUAGAAACAUGUUGGUUUAAAACAUUAAUAACAUUUGAAAAAAACAUCAAUACCUGACUUUAUUAAUACUAGUUUGCAAUGUUGAAAAGUGAUGUCUUGACCAGAUUCCAUCACACAAACAUUUUUGUUAAGCCAAAUCAGGGCUAAGUCUGCCUAGUCUGUGGGAUCAGCAAUAUCUUCAAGUUGUAGACUUUCUGCCUAAGGUUCUUAUGAUAUAUUUAUCAGAUUAGGGCAGAUAUAAAGUAUAUUUAAUGUUUCUAGUACAACAUUGCCCAUCAGUGCUGUCUGUCAUUCAGAGAACAGCAGAGAAGGUCUCGUGAUUGUAAAUUCAUAACAAUUCACAUCAAUCAAACAGUAGUUUGAGAAAAAAAAGUCAUCAUUCAGAGCAGUGGUGCCUGGUGGUUUUUUAAAAUAGGGGAAGGGAACUGCCUGUCAGCAGACAAAGCCAGCAGUACAUGUGCUUUUUCACAGCAAUUUUACUGUACCAAGAAAGAUCAAAGGAUCUGCUUUUUGCUUUCUGACCUCAACUAAAUCAACUUUGGAUGUUUAUCUGCCCUCUAACAUUAGCAGUGUCUGCCAUGUCAUGCUAAAAAGCAGGUAGCUAAAUUCCCUGAAGAGCUAGUGACAGUUAUGAGGUACUGUCCCUUUGAGAGGUCUCCCAAUCAUUGUGUGUAGAAGCCAGGCAUCCGAGCAGGAUAAUCCUGCAUUCAUGAACAGCGUACUGUCCAAUUAAUCUUGAGAUUUGUUUUUUUCUUAUACAAAAAACAUCCAUGAUACAAUUGUUGACUCCCAGCAUAAACAGCACCCUCAGGUGGACUGGAGGAACAAUUUUAUACUAUCUAUAAAAGUGCAUUUAUGAUCACUGUUGCCAGCAUGAUUUUGUCGCUAGAUUUUUAGAUACCUUUUGAAACUUUCAGUCAGGUUCACUCAACUCUCCACCAGUAUGUAAAUCCUAAAUUGCACAAGCUGAUGUUUCUAAUGACGAAAUCACUGAUUAACAUUGUAAUGACCAGUCACUGAUAAGCUUGUUUCACAAUGACCAAUCACUGAUCAACUUUUUUCACAAUGACCAAUCACAGAUCAUCAAGUAAUAGAAGUGAGUUAUUCUAUUCAUUUUGCCAUUUUCUUCAUGUCUCUUUUCUGAGUACUUGCUACCACUGCUUCAUUUUGUCUCAAUUAUUAUUUAAAAAAGUAUAAUAUUUUGUAUAUAUGUAGUUAGAUUCUAUUUAGUAAAUAUGUAGAUAAGUUUGUAAGGCCAUGACAAAAGAUUUCUUCUUUCUUUAAGGAAUAACAUAUAAUUAAUAUUCUCUUUUCUAAAGUCUUCAAAAAUUCUUCCCUCUUCAUAUAACAUAUCUUGAUAUGCAAAUUAUCACACCAUUGCAUGAUCAAUUAAUAUGCAAAUUAGUCCAAUUGACACCAUCUUAACUUCUAACUUAUUUUUGAACAUGCUACUUUCCUCUGAAAAGAGUUGGCAACACUGUUUAUGAUUAUAGUUUUUAGCUCACACUCUACUGAGACAGCUUCAAGAUCUAUGGCCAUUGAAAUAAUUUGUCACAGCACAAUAACAAGACAGGCUUUUAUCACAGCUUUCAAAUCUGUAUGCAUGUCACAAUGCUCUGUUUUCUGCUAAGCUCUCUCGCCUGAUCCUAAUUUAUCAGAAUUGUCAAUCGGGUUCUUUAUGUUUCUUUUGUUCUCUGAACUGUUCAAAUUGUGCAGAAGUCGCUUCUUUCAUAAUAUCCCCAGUGGCCUAUAUCCUAUCUCCAGAUUCUGAUGACGAGGGGUAUUAAAAUUUUGCAAGCAUUUAAUUGGAACAAAGUAACUGUAUGAACACAUUACUCCAAUUGUAUCAUCUCUACACUGGUUACCUGUUAAGCUCUGUAUUGAUUAUACAACUGCUACUCACCUAUAAAGCCCUAAACAUCCAAGCUCCUUUAUAUUUAACCCAUCACAUUACAAUCCUUCACACUCUUUAAUGUCGUAAAACUUGUGAUAAUACAAAGGAUAUCAAAGUCUACCAAAGGAGGUAGAGUGUUUUCACAUUUAGCUCCUAAACUCCGGAAUAGCCUUCCUGAUAAUGUUCGUGGUUCAGACACACUCUCUCAGUUUAAAUCUAGAUUAAAAACAAAAUUGCUAUGAUUGUAAAUUUCUUUAACAUAGCAAUCACAUAACACAUCUCAUAACCUUGCACUACAAUCAUCAGUGAUAAAACAAAAACAAUUGCACAUGGUUAUCUCUGCCUGAAAUUCAAUGAACUGCAGCCACGCUAAUCCUUCUCCAUUUGUUUCCUGUUCCUACCUCAGGAUGCCCAUCCUGAGGUAAUCAUUGAAUGUGCUAGCUCCAGCUCAGAAGCAGCCUCUACAAAGAUUCCAGAUGACAUCAACGCCUGCAAAGACUUUGGAUGAUACCAACACUCUACAAUAGAUAGCAAUGGGAUAGCAGUGGGCCUGAACUGUUCUGCUCUCCGGGCCGGCCUGGACUGUCCUGGUGACCUGCUUCUGGUGUUCUCGUCGCUUGGAGGCCAGUCACUGUUGCUGAGGAUGGCCCCAUAUGGACAGCCUAUCGACACUUGGAAGCCGUGGAGAUGGCAUUGGACUGCAACUGAUGUGAGCAGUUUUGGUGUGGUGUGUUUUUGGGCCCAGGUCUCAAAAGUAAAUGUAAAACUAACUCUCUAAAAUAUGUACUGUGUAAUGACCAGAAUUUCUAAAUGUGAGUAUAAUGUGUGCUGCUAUAUUGCUUAUUUGAUUGUAAGACCUACAAUCUGAAAAGUUUUGUCAUUUCAAGCCUGUCAUGUCAGACCAAAUCAGCAACUCCAUUCCCCAGAAUGCACCACCAACUACAAACAUGGUAGAAGAGGACUACACUUCCCAUACACAUACAUGUUCACCUUCUCCGAAGUUCUAAUCAGAGACGCCUGUUCCCAUUUAUACUCACAAUCACACUACACAUAAAAGAGACUGUUUGAACACUCUUUUUUUAAUUUAUUUAUUUAUUUAUUUAUUUAUUUAUUUAUUUAUUUUACUUUUACGUUUAUGAAUUAGACUCUUCGCCCUGCCCUGUUUAUGCUGUUUGCCUGAUUGCCUGACCUCUACCUGUUCAUGAUUAUUGUCUUCUGCCUUAUCCUUUGGACUUGUUGUUAUUGUUGUUGUUGUUGUUGUUGUUGUUGUAUUAAACUGCCAUACCUGUAUUUGCUUCUGUCUGUGCCUCCAUUACGUGACAAAACCUCAUACCAGGCUACUGGUGCUGUG